rnacentral:rRNA from 1 species
AUUGAACGCUGGCGGCAUGCCUUACACAUGCAAGUCGAACGGCAGCAUGAUCUAGCUUGCUAGAUUGAUGGCGAGUGGCGAGCGGGUGAGUAAUACAUCGGAACGUGCCCUGUAGUGGGGGAUAACUAGUCGAAAGAUUAGCUAAUACCGCAUACGACCUGAGGGUGAAAGUGGGGGACCGCAAGGCCUCAUGCUAUAGGAGCGGCCGAUGUCUGAUUAGCUAGUUGGUGAGGUAAAGGCUCACCAAGGCGACGAUCAGUAGCUGGUCUGAGAGGACGAUCAGCCACACUGGGACUGAGACACGGCCCAGACUCCUACGGGAGGCAGCAGUGGGGAAUUUUGGACAAUGGGCGAAAGCCUGAUCCAGCAAUGCCGCGUGUGUGAAGAAGGCCUUCGGGUUGUAAAGCACUUUUGUCCGGAAAGAAAUGGCUCUGGUUAAUACCUGGGGUCGAUGACGGUACCGGAAGAAUAAGGACCGGCUAACUACGUG